GACGAACGCUGGCAGCGUGCCUAAUACAUGCAAGUCGAGCGGACCACUUCGGUGGUCAGCGGCGGACGGGUGAGUAACACGUGGGCAACCUGCCUGUAAGACUGGGAUAACACCGGGAAACCGGUGCUAAUACCGGAUAAUCCUUUCCUUCACAUGAGGGAAAGCUGAAAGACGGUUUCGGCUGUCACUUACAGAUGGGCCCGCGGCGCAUUAGCUAGUUGGUGAGGUAACGGCUCACCAAGGCAACGAUGCGUAGCCGACCUGAGAGGGUGAUCGGCCACACUGGGACUGAGACACGGCCCAGACUCCUACGGGAGGCAGCAGUAGGGAAUCUUCCGCAAUGGACGAAAGUCUGACGGAGCAACGCCGCGUGAGCGAUGAAGGCCUUCGGGUCGUAAAGCUCUGUUGUCAGGGAAGAACAAGUACCGGAGUAACUGCCGGUACCUUGACGGUACCUGACCAGAAAGCCACGGCUAACUACGUGCCAGCAGCCGCGGUAA
rnacentral:rRNA from 1 species